AGUGAACGCUGGCGGUAGGCCUAACACAUGCAAGUCGAACGGCAGCACAGUAAGAGCUUGCUCUUACGGGUGGCGAGUGGCGGACGGGUGAGGAUUACAUCGGAAUCUACUUUUUCGUGGGGGAUAACGUAGGGAAACUUACGCUAAUACCGCAUACGACCUACGGGUGAAAGCAGGGGAUCUUCGGACCUUGCGCGAUUGAAUGAGCCGAUGUCGGAUUAGCUAGUUGGCGGGGUAAAGGCCCACCAAGGCGACGAUCCGUAGCUGGUCUGAGAGGAUGAUCAGCCACACUGGAACUUAGACACGGUCCAGACCCCUACGGGAGGCAGCAGUGGGGAAUUUUUGACAAAGGGCGCAAGCCUGAACCAGCCAUACCGCGUGGGUGAAGAAGGCCUUUCGGUUUGAAAGCCCUUUUUUUGGGAAAGAAAAGCAGCAGGUUAAUACCCCGCUGUUCUGACGGUACCCAAAGAAUAAGCACCGGCUAACUUCGUG
rnacentral:rRNA from 1 species